GCAGAACACACAAGCAGAGUGAGCAGACCGAUAGUGCAAAUGCCACAUCAGUGCCACCAUUUAACAGUCACACUGUGCUGUGCGGGAGAGAGGGGGAGCAGGGGGUGGAGUGAGGUUGGGGUGACAGGACCGGGUGAGAGGGGGUUGGAGCUGUCAGCCAAUCAGCACAGGAGAGAAGACAGGCAGAGUGACACUGUCACAAGUAGCAUGAUGACAUCAUCAACCACUAUGUCCCUCUGGACACAGAGGAGGUGAACUACAACAGCCAGGGCACAGCCUGGGCACAGCGCUGGCUACAGGCAGAGUGACCCCAAACCUGCUCCCGCCCCCGGCUGUGUGGGAGCAACAAACCUGUGGGAAUUCAUGAGCUCUGAGAGCUGCCCAGAGGGGCUACGAACCUUGUUGUAAAGUCUGAGAUUCCCCCUCCCAUCCCCAGUGAAAUGAACAAAGGGACCUCACCUUUCUCUGCACGAUGCGCCGCUGGAAGUGAAUAACAGGAGAGGUGGGUUACAAGGCAGAAGAUUUAUCUCUCCUGGAAUCUAGUGGAGAUGUGAUGAUUUCAGCCUUCCUUCUUAGAGAAAAAGUAUGUUUCUAGCCCUUGUUUCAAAAUGUGACUCCAGUGCACCCUAAAGGCUCAAAAAGCAGAAGGCAAAUUAAAAGAACCCCCCAUCGACUAUUUUUACAUCAUCCCGUGAUUUUAAAGCCAAUCUCCUGAUUGUUGAGGGGAACAGGGCAGCAGUGAUGCUGUGAGAAGCUGAAGGCCAGGGAUGAAAAUCAUCAGAAUCAUACUUAAGAAUUGCUUAUUUGGAACCCAGAUAAAUGCAGUAACUGGCCAGGAGAAUGAGAACAGCCAGGACAGCCAGGAUCACACCCAGAGCCACCAGCCCAGGAUUGACUCGUGGGAAAAACAGCUCUGCAAGAGAAAGUGCCAUUGACUUGGGAGCAAACACGCGCAGAAUGAAGGCAGGACCCUGUGACAAUGGUGACUCUGUGACUAGUUAAAAGAAUCUCAAGGUACAACAAUGGAAAAGCCAGACAGGGCGGAUGGCCCAUCAGCAAGAGACAAUGGACGGUAAAAGAGCUUAGUCUUCCCAUGAACCUGUGGGUCAGCCUGUGAAGAAUGGCUACAGGGGCCCUACAGAGGCAUGUGACCAUGUCACCUGAUACCGGAACCCAGCUUGAAUUCUGCACUUUUCCAUGAGAUGCUGGGGUGGGGGUCAAACUAGGAAACAAAGGACUCCCACCUUACGCAAA